ACGGGGGGGGCAAGCGUUAUUCGGAAUUACUGGGCGUAAAGGGCGCGUAGGCGGCUUGGUCAGUGGAAAGUGAAAGCCCUCGGCUUAACCGAGGAACUGCUUCCCAUACUGCCAAGCUAGAGGAUGGGAGAGGAGAGUGGAAUUCCUGGUGUAGCGGUGAAAUGCGUAGAGAUCAGGAGGAACAUCAGUGGCGAAGGCGACUCUCUGGACCAUUACUGACGCUGAGGCGCGAAAGCGUGGGUAGCAAACAGG
rnacentral:rRNA from 1 species